UGAAUACGAGACGCUAAGGCGUCGAAGUAGUAUAUGUCAUACUUCCAAGAAAAGCUUGCACUGUCAUAAGUAAAAAAUGCCUGUACCAUAACCGACACAGGUGGGUAGGUAGAGUAUACUAAGGGGCGCGAGAUAACUCUCUCUAAGGAACUCGGCAAAAUAACUCCGUAACUUCGGGAGAAGGAGUACCUUAUUCUAUAAGGUUGCAAUAACAAGAUCCAAGCAACUGUUUAUCAAAAACACAGGUCUCCGCUAAGUCGUAAGACGAUGUAUGGGGGCUGACGCCUGCCCAGUGCCAGAAGGUUAAAGAAGUCGGUUAGCAUUAGCGAAGCUGGUAACUGAAGCCCUGGUGAACGGCGGCCGUAACUAUAACGGUCCUAAGGUAGCGAAAUUCCUUGUCGGGUAAGUUCCGACCCGCACGAAAGGCGUAAUGAUUUGGAUACUGUCUCGGAGAGGGGCUCGGUGAAAUAGACUUGUCUGUGAAGAUGCGGACUACCUGCACCAGGACAGAAAGACCCUAUGAAGCUUUACUGUAACUUGAAAUUGAAAUUGGACUUUAUUCGCGCAGUAUAGGUGGGAGGUGUUGAUUAUAAUCUUGCGGGAUUAUUGGAGCCAUCAGUGAGAUACCACUCUUGUAAUGUUAGAUUUCUAACUUUGAAUCAUUAUCUGGUCAAAGGACAGUUUCAGGCGGGCAGUUUGACUGGGGCGGUCGCCUCCCAAACGGUAACGGAGGCGUACAAAGGUUUCCUCUGAACGGGUAGAAAUCGUAUCUAGAGUGUAAAGGCAUAAGGAAGCUUGACUGUGAGACCUACAAGUCGAACAGGGACGAAAGUCGGUCUUAGUGAUCUGACGGUACUGAGUGGAAAGGCCGUCACUCAACGGAUAAAAGUUACUCUAGGAUAACAGGCUGAUCUCCCCCAAGAGUUCACAUCGACGGGGAGGUUUGGCACCUCGAUGUCGGCUCAUCGCAUCCUGGGGCGGUAGUACGUCCCAAGGGUUGGGCUGUUCGCCCAUGAAAGCGGUACGCGAGCUGGGUUCAGAACGUCGUGAGACAGUUCGGUCCAUAUCCGGUGUAGGCGUUAGAAUAUUGAGAGGAGCCUUCUUUAGUACGAGAGGACCGAGAAGGACAUACCUCUGGUGUACCAGUUAUCGUGCCAACGGUAAACGCUGGGUAGCUAUGUAUGGAGUGGAUAACCGCUGAAAGCAUCUAAGUGGGAAGCCCACCUCAAGAUAAG
rnacentral:rRNA from 1 species